rfam:Candidatus Walczuchella monophlebidarum isolate FNIIJ chromosome, complete genome.
GGGGGAUUAGCUCAGCUGGCUAGAGCGCCUGUUUUGCACACAGGAGGUCAUCGGUUCAAUUCCGAUAUUCUCCA